rnacentral:rRNA from 1 species
GACGAACGCUGGCGGCGUGCUUAACACAUGCAAGUCGAACGAAGUGGCGAACGGGUGAGUAACGCGUAAUCAACCUGCCCUUCAGAGGGGGACAACAGUUGGAAACGACUGCUAUUACCGCAUACUGAAGGAGGGGAUUGCGUCUGAUUGGCUAGGUGGAGGGGUAACGGCCCACCAAGGCGAUGAUCAGUAGCCGGUUUGGGAGGAUGAACCGCCACAUUUGGACUGAGACACGGGCCAGACUCCUACGGGAGGCAGCAGUUGGGAAUCUUCCGCAAUGGACGAAAGUCUGACGGAGCAACGCCGCGUGAGUGAUGACGGCCUUCGGGUUGUAAAGCUCUUUUAAUCGGGACGCGGUACCGGAAUAGAAAGCCACGGCUAACUACGUGCCAGCAGCCGCGGUAAUUC